GAUGAAGAACGCAGCGAAAUGCGAUAAGUAAUGUGAAUUGCAGAAUUCAGUGAAUCAUCGAAUCUUUGAACGCACAUUGCGCCCGUCAGUAUUCUGGCGGGCAUGCCUGUUCGAGCGUCAUUACGCCCCUCAAGUCCCCUGUGGACUUGGUGUUGGGGAUCGGCGAGGCUGGUUUUCCAGCACAGCCGUCCCUUAAAUUAAUUGGCGGUCUCGCCGUGGCCCUCCUCUGCGCAGUAGUAAAACACUCGCAACAGGAGCCCGGCGCGGUCCACUGCCGUAAAACCCCCCAACUUUUUAUAGUUGACCUCGAAUCAGGUAGGACUACCCGCUGAACUCAAGCAUAUCAAUAAGCGGAGGA
rnacentral:misc_RNA from 1 species